UCAAUGCAACAGUAAACGCUAAGCACAAUCAGCUUAAUAACUUCACUUGGCACUUGUAUGGAGUGAAUUAUCAAUCAUUUUCUAUUGAUUAGAUCCUCGUCUUGCAGAGCAGAGUCGAGUGCUCAGAUUUUCAUUAAUACAUUUUGUUAGCCAUACUUUUUGAACUUUUGGAAGCAGCCUUAUGCAGAACUUUGGCACGCACGGGGACCUAAGCAAAAGUAUACAUAUUGUGAUGUCUUCCGAAGUCCAAUAAAGCAUCUCACAACAUCAAAAUCCCAAUGCUAAAACCAAUUCUUCAUGCUGCAAGAACAUUGAAUGAAAAGCUGACCAAACAUCUUUAAGUGAAAACUUGUCGGAAUAAAUCCUUAAAACAACAUCUCUUGUACUCCAUUUUCAGCCAUCUUCUCCAGGUCUUCCUGUGACAGCAAUGUUUUCCUACCGCCAGUGCCUGUUUUAUCAUAUGGUUGAGCCAUCUUCCUGAGAAACUCGCGUGCAAUAUGCAAAGCCAUGUCAGUGCUCAAAUUCAAGUUUGCAUCACGUAAAUGCGACAGUAUCCAACCAGGCAAUUUUGAGCGCUUGUCAUGACGGCUAUAUCUUUUAUCAGCAAAUAUCAUCAUUCCAUAAUCAGCCUUUGACCUGAUCACUCGGCCCACACAUUGAGCAGCUUGUCUCAAGGCAUCAAAUGUUAGGAAAUCGCCCUCCUUUAUUUGAAAUGUGUCCCGUAGAUACUCCAACCGUGCAAUUAAUAUUUUGCUUAAGGUAUAUUGGAAAGGAAUACCAAACAUGAUCACUAAUCUACCAUAGUGUCGAUCAAAGUCUAUUCCUUCGGCUACUUUUCCCCUGGCAACGGAGAAAAAGACUGCACCUCUCCCACAAUCACAAGCCCUGCGAUAGUUGUCAAGAGCCAAUGUAGUUUCUACCACAUCUUGGGUCUCAAUAAAUACAAGCUUAUGUUGCAUUAUUUCCUUAAGAACUCCAGUUUCAUUCCAGCUGUUGAUAAUUCCAUCCAUGUAAGAGUAACUGACAAAAAAGCAUACAAUUCCAUCUGGAACAACAGAUACCAUCUCCACCAACAGCUUCCCAUAGUUUCUUGCAACACCUGGAUCACUUCUCAUAUCAAAUUUGGUACUUACUGGAAGUUGGUCACUUCCACGAGUGAGAACCAUAGGGCAUAUGCAAUCUCUUGUCAAGGACAUUGUAAAGCUUCGACUGACAACAGGAUGGAAGUUAAGAAGACGAGGGUAGAGGUCAAUAGGGCUCAGCGUUCCAGAAGUAAUCACAACUGACUGGAACCUAUCAAAUACUGGCUUUAUGGCAAGAGAAGCAUCAUGGCAGCUAAGCUGCAAUACAGGGUCAGGAAUAUGUGGCAUUCUCUCAUCAAAAGGUUCAAUUAUGAUGGAAAAUCCACGACUAUAUGUCCCCACAAGUGUUGCAAAGUCACAUA
rnacentral:misc_RNA from 1 species